AUUGAACGCUGGCGGCAGGCUUAACACAUGCAAGUCGAGCGGGGGAAGGUAGCUUGCUACCGGACCUAGCGGCGGACGGGUGAGUAAUGCUUAGGAAUCUGCCUAUUAGUGGGGGACAACAUCUCGAAAGGGAUGCUAAUACCGCAUACGUCCUACGGGAGAAAGCAGGGGAUCCUCGGACCUUGCGCUAGUAGAUGAGCCCAAGUCGGAUUAGCUAGUUGGUGGGGUAAAGGCCUACCAAGGCGACGAUCUGUAGCGGGUCUGAGAGGAUGAUCCGCCACACUGGGACUGAGACACGGCCCAGACUCCUACGGGAGGCAGCAGUGGGGAAUAUUGGACAAUGGGGGAACCCUGAUCCAGCCAUGCCGCGUGUGUGAAGAAGGCCUUAUGGUUGUAAAGCACUUUAAGCGAGGAGGAGGCUACUUUAGUUAAUACCUAGAGAUAGUGGACGUUACUCGCAGAAUAAGCACCGGCUAACUCUGUGCCAGCCGCCGCAGUAA
rnacentral:rRNA from 1 species